UAGGGAAUAUUCGUAAUGGGCGAAAGCCUGAACUAGCAACACCGCGUGUGCGAAGAAGGCCUUCGGGUUGUAAAGCACUUUUUGAGAGGAUGAGGAAGGACGGUACUCUCAGAAUAAGUCUCGGCUAACUACGUGCCAGCAGCCGCGGUAACACGUAGGAGGCAAACGUUAUCCGGAUUUACUGGGCGUAAAGCGCGUGUAGGUGGUACUGUAAGUAGGGCGUGAAAGCUCCUGGCUCAACUGGGAGAGGCCGUUCUAAACUACAGAACUAGAGGAUGGUAGAGGGAGGUGGAAUUCCAGGUGUAGCGGUGGAAUGCGCAGAUAUCUGGAGGAACACCGGUGGCGAAGGCGGCCUCCUGGACCAUUCCUGACACUCAGACGCGAAAGCUAGGGUAGCAAACG
rnacentral:rRNA from 1 species